UAUUAGAAAGUAUUGAGAUACAUUAAACUUUGACUUUAAAGGUACAGGGUGUCCUGUUUUAAUAG
rnacentral:tRNA from 2 species